rnacentral:rRNA from 1 species
GACAGAGGGUGCAAACGUUGCUCGGAAUCACUGGGCGUAAAGGGCGUGUAGGCGGGAAGGAAAGUCAGAUGUGAAAUCCCUGGGCUCAACCCAGGAACUGCAUUUGAAACUCCCUUUCUUGAGUGUCGGAGAGGAAAGUGGAAUUCCUGGUGUAGAGGUGAAAUUCGUAGAUAUCAGGAGGAACACCGGUGGCGAAGGCGUUCUGCUGGGCCGUUGCUGACACUGAGGCGCGACGAGCGUGGGGAGCAAACAGG